rnacentral:rRNA from 1 species
UACGUAGGUGGCAAGCGUUAUCCGGAAUUAUUGGGCGUAAAGCGCGCGCAGGUGGUUUCUUAAGUCUGAUGUGAAAGCCCACGGCUCAACCGUGGAGGGUCAUUGGAAACUGGGAGACUUGAGUGCAGAAGAGGAAAGUGGAAUUCCAUGUGUAGCGGUGAAAUGCGUAGAGAUAUGGAGGAACACCAGUGGCGAAGGCGACUUUCUGGUCUGUAAUUGACACUGAGGCGCGAAAGCGUGGGGAGCAAACAGG